rnacentral:rRNA from 1 species
UACAGAGGGGGCAAGCGUUAUUCGGAAUUAUUGGGCGUAAAGGGCGCGUAGGCGGCUUUGCAAGUGGCGGGUGAAAUCCCUCGGCUUAACCGAGGAACUGCCUGUCAAACUGCAUGGCUUGAGACCAGGAGAGGUGAGUGGAAUUCCCAGUGUAGCGGUGAAAAUGCGUAGAUAUUGGGGAGGAACACCAGUGGCGAAGGCGGCUCACUGGACUGGUACUGACGCUGAGGUGCGAAAGCGUGGGGGAGCAAACAGG